CACUUCUGUUCUGCACCCCAAGUCCAGGAGAGGGGCUGAAGGGCUAUAGGGAUUGACUUGACUUCAUCAGCAGGAGGCAGUGUUAAUCCAUCCUUUAGCUGGGAGUGUGUGUAGUGGGUGGAUGAUGGGUGUGUUUGGAUGUGUGGUAGUGGAUGAUGGGUGUAUAGUAGUGGAUAAUGGGUGUAUACUAGUGGACGAUGGCUGUGUAGUAUAAAGCUGUCAAUCUUCCUCUAUAAUUCCAUUCAAAUUGUGUUCCUUAUUAUUUUUAAUAUUGAAGUUGUAUUAUGUAUGAUAUAUAUUAACUAUGUACCUAUACUCUGCAUACACAGGCUUAUGGAUUGCCAAAGCUUCUAUUAAAAGCUCUGUCCAAUAAACCAUUCUUUCUUGCCAAGUUAAUAAUAAGCACAAUUUACAAAAGGGCAAUCCAUUAAAGUAGAAAUGAAGCAAUGAGAACUGUGACCAUUUUUUGGUUGCCUUUGCUUUUUCAUUUUUGAAAAUACAUGGAUUUUCAUUAAACCUGAAAUUCAAGUAGUUUCACUGGAAAAUGACAUGUUGAUGACAACGACUUUCGCAACUAGGGCACGGCCAUGUUUUAAAAAUGCAGGCGCUACGUCAUCCAAAUGGUUAGCGCUUUCAAAUAAACAUGUCAAAUCUUGGAAGAACAGGGGGGUCAUUUUGUGUUGUCCCUGGCUGUUCAAACAAAUAUUAUCGGGUAAAAGAGAGCGGUAAAAUAGUUAAUUUCCAUGUCAUUCCUGUCAAGAAGCCUAAACUGCUCCGAAGAUGGUUAGCUGCAUUGAAACGCCUCAGCCCCCCAAUGGGACCAGGGCAGAGAAUAUGUAGCGACCACUUUAUAGAGGCUGAUUACAUUGAAGAGGGAUUUUUUGCUGAAGAUGGGAGAUUUCGUCCCACCAAUCGCCUGAAGCCAGAUGCUGUGCCAACAAUUUUUAAUUUUAGUGGCUAUAGUCCUGGAGACACGUAUAUAUUAAAUAUAUAUAAUUAAAUAUCCAGGACUACACGGCUAUAGUCCCGGAGACACCUGUCAAAUCGGACCGGGGCGCUGCUCUUAUGCGCAGAGAAAGAGCGCAGAAACGCGCUUGCCAGGAAGAGGAACGAGAGCUAAACUUAGCUUCUACUACUAGAGAAACAGAGAAAUUAGUACACUCACUGUUUGAAGAAUGUCUUGUUUGCAGACUCGCUCGCUCCAUGCUCUUGAUAAUUUCUAAUCGUUAUCGGAAAUAAUCCAUUUGCAAACACUGUCGGUUGCGCUAUUUUCGCAAAUUCAUGUGCAGACACAAAUGGCACGACAAUUACUUGUAUCAUGAAAUGAACGAACUGUAAGGCAGCGUGGUAGCCCUGCUGCUGCACACGUGUGCUACUUUUCAUAGCUGUAAACAACAUCCUGUGGACGGGCAGAGCCGGGAGAUGUCAGUCAUUAUCUCCUCCACAUUAUCUCCUCCAUAUAUAUAUAUAUAUAUAUAUAUAUAUAUAUAUAUAAUGUGCAAUAUAUAUCUAUUUUGUUGAGGCAGUAAGCUACCAGUGAGGCUAUGAGCCGCUAUGUAAACAACAUAGAAUGUUACCAACCAUUUUCGUGACGUCAUCGUAUUCUGAAAACAGAGAUGGCGGCGCACAGGCUGUAAACAUUAUAAUUAAUGCAACUUGUUUGUGCUUUAUUCUGAAUAACGGGUCAUAUUUCCGACUUUAUUUGUAUUUAUGGUACAUUUAAAUAUUUAGUGCUAUAGACAUCUGUUUUAUUUGAUUGCUUCCUUUCCACUUUAACGCUGCCUAUUGACUUUAUUAUUAUAUAAUUAGCUGCGUGGUGAUGGACAGCACUGACUCAAGACUCAUCUUGUUGGGCAAUAUUAACUUCAUUGCACCAAGGAAGUUUAUUUACCAUCUCCCCAGUGAAUACAUCUGUUAAACCAAUCCCAUUCGGGUAUCUCUGUCACAGUCAUGUUGGACACUUUAGGACAUGGCAGAGGUAACUUUCUAUUUAUCAGUUUCCUGAGUUGUGUUGAGCAUCCUGGUUCCGGCUGCCAUUUGUAUGAGCAAUUCACCAGCACAAUUAUAUGAAUUUGCCACAUAUUCGCAUCGCGGCUGAUAAAUAAUUCAUAACGUGCAGAAAAACUAAAUUUUUCACAGGCUUAGGGUGACAAAAGCAUUUAGUUUUUACGUGGGCCGAGAUUCGCUUACGUUAGCCAAACACAUUUACAAAAUAUGAAAGAAUAAACAUUUUAAUAUUAAUUUAACAUUUGAUUAUGUAGCACCCGUGGUCUUAGCCGGAAGGGGCAGAUAGGAUGCUAGCAUCACUCUAGAUCCUUAAAGAAGUUAAACACUAAUGACUCACGAAGCGAGUUGGUGUUGGUUGAAUAGAUGAGCAAUUUUAAUGCCUUUCAUCAUAAAACAUUGACAUUUGAUACAAAAUAAAGCUUUUGAAAAUAACAAACAAAUUCAAAAGAAUAAGUCCUUUGCAGCUGGAUUCCCCAGCUACAGUGCUCCUUGGGAAAGGAGUUGUUCGGUCAAGGAAUGUCUAGUUCAGGGGGGGAUAUCCGGAUAUGUGUGUUUCAGUUUCUCUUACUACUACCCGGGUAGGUUAGUGUGUAUCUAUUUGUUGUCUUAUCUGUAAUGAAUGGAUCUUCACAAUCGUCUAUGGUGGUGUUCACGGCUGGCCACGCCGUAUCCAAACCAUCCAAUAUCGUCCCACUGCAGACACAAAUGGGCGUUCUCGUGUGGUGGGGGUUCCCGUUUACGCAGACUGGAACGCCCCCUUCUUAUUCUUCGUCGCUUUUCUCGCUGAACUGUAUUAAAAUUUCAAAGUGUACUACUCCGAAACCAUGUAAAUAGUGUUGUAAAUAAACUUCCAAAGCUUUUCAAAUCAUA